UCUUGUCGUUGCUGCUGACCACGGCUUUCCUCUGCUUCCUGAACCUUAGAGGCAGAAGAUGUGUUAGGUCCUGGCCCGGCAGGAGCCCCCAAGCCCUGAGUGUGGCGAUACCCACCAGGAGCUGGUUAGGGCACGUCAGCGCCUGGGGACACUCCUACCUGAAGAAGUAGGCUGCGAGGAGGAGCAAGAGGAGGAGCAGAGGCAGCAACAGCCAGGAACUGCUUCCUAGGGGGAACUGAAGAGUGAGCGUGGGAAGUUUGAGGCUGAAGGAUUGAGAAGGCCAUGGAACCACUUGUUAGCCGGUGACUUGCUCCCUCAGACUCACUUUCUGGUGACAACCCAUGUUACUAGAAUCACAUGGGGGCCCAACACCGGAUGUUGGAACUCUACAUCUCUGGAGAGUGAUAGGUUUAUAUACAAAAGAAGUAUGAAGGCCACCAUCUCCCUCUCAUGUUCUUGGUGUGUUUGCGGGGGACACCAUCUUCACACCAAGGGAACAUGAAUGAAGGCACGGAAGGUGCCAUGAUAUUUUUCUCAGGACCACUGUCUCAUUCCCAGGGUCCUUCACUUUAGCACACAGAUUACCCCUGGGUCUUAGACAGGACAGUGAAGGUUCUGGGAGCAGACUAAAUUUGAUCUGUGACGAAUCUCCAUAGCAGAAAGUCUUUAGCUUCAGGUAGGAGGGCUCCACACACUUGACUGACAACGGACAGGUGUUUCUUUCUCUCCUGCAGCACAGAUGGCGUACACCCAUGGGUGCUGGUCAGCUAAGGCUGGGCACCUUGCACCCGUGAGCAGCAGUUCAGUGUAGGAAGUUCAGAGCUGGGAGGAAGGAGCUGGUGCUGUGAAAUGGUGGCUGGUAACUUCUGUCGCUCUUUCGGAACCCAGCAGAGUUGCUGGCCUUGGCCCUUUCUGCUUUUGCUACCCCUUAUCCAAAACUUAUCCAAAACUCAAAGGGCUUGGUUGUCCAUAUGUGUAACGUAUGUGAGGACAGUGACUUGGGAAGCCAUGCAAGGGUGUCGGCUCCCCUGGAACUGGAGUUACCAUCUACUGUGAUCCCUUUCCCUCAAGUCCGUGUGAGUGCUGGGAACCGAACUUCGGCCCUCUGCAAGUGCCACUGAGACAGCUCUCCAGCCCCAAGUACCUGUUUCUAAUGUCUGUCUUCUAUAAAAUCAGGACAAGGUGACUCACCUCAACAAGAUAAUUGCUUUUUAAAGUUCCAGGAAGACAAGAACUCAGAUAAAACAAUACCUUUCCGUGGCAAAAGAAACAAAACCCAGACCUUUCCUAACAUUUAGGUGUGAAUAUACUUAUAGGGAUGAGAGAUUUAAACAAUUAUUUUUUUUUAAAAAGCCAUUCAUUAAAAUCUGCAGACACAGCAUGUUUCAGGUGUAGCCACGUGACCCUGCCCCUUUGAAGAUGGCUUUGCUUAUUAAAAAAGAAAAGAUGUUCACAGGGGGUCCUCAGCUCAGUGGGUGAAGGGUGGAACUUAAUUGCUUUUGAGCAAAGGUAAUUGAAUGUCUGAUGCAAACACGGAAACAUCUUUAAAAUGAGGUUGCCAAAGGGGUCCCCACGUCGAGAAAAAAAGCAAAAGCAAAAGAAAUCAGGCAGGAACGAGGGAAGAGGGAGAGAGGCUUGGGGGUGGGUGUCCCUGCCCUGGCUGUUGGUCACCUGACAGAUAACCUCCAGGAACUGGCUAUCUGAAUAGGUAAGAACUGGCCUGCUGGAGGCAAGUGUCAUCCUUGGUGUUUGAAGGUGCAGUGGGGUGACAACCAGGUACUGACCCCUAGGAAGGAAGGGAGAAGAGACAGGGAAGGAAGGAGGUGUGUGUGGGGGGUGACAGAUAAACAGAGAUAGAGGGAGGAGGAGGAGAGGAGAGAGGGAAGUGGGGAGGAAGAGAGAAGGGUGUGGAUAAGUAACAUCUGACUCGGCUUUUUGGAAAGGACCUGCAAGCCUUUGAGCCUGUUGGCAGGUCUGUUAGGGAACAAUUUCAAUCCCCUAUGUGGUGCGUGCUAAUUUGCAUAAUUCCAAUUAUUCACCGAGCCCUCUUGAAGAUGAGUAAGAAGUGAAGAGCCUCUUCUGUCGGAAUCCAGUCUCUUUCAUCAAAGCCACAAGGCCAGAUCAUGGAAAUCACAGGCUCCCACGCAGGAGCACAUUUUCACAGAUUGUGAAAUCAUAUUUGGACUCAUCUCAUCAACAAGCAGCAAGGGUCUGGUCAAAUCAGACACUGGGUUAGAGACCAGGCAGCUAACAACAUCUCUCUCCAUGGGGCCAAAUGGGGGUACAUGGAGCUAGACUCUUAGGGAUAAGCUUUGGUCUUCCCCAUAGGGGAAAAAAAAACCCCCACAUUUCCAACCUGAGAAGACAGGAAGACUCUGAAAAUCUACAAGUUGUGACGACAUGAAGAGAACGUCAAACUAAGAGAUGGGGGACACAUAGAAGCAUGAAUGGGGAUCACAUAGGACUGGCGAAUGGGGAUCACAUAGGACCGGCGAAGGUGAAUGAGGGUCACAUAGAAUUGCAAUAAAUGGGGGCUGCAUAAGACCAGGGAGUGGAAGUCAGAGUGAGCUCUUCUUUCCCAUGUAAACAGAAGCAGGUGAUUGGUUAGAAUAACCUUUUGAUCUUACUUAACCCAAAUUUUCACUAGUCAGUGGAUAUUAAUGAUUAUGGGGGAAAAAAGGCAAGGAAAGUAAGUUCAAUAUCCACAGAUUUUUAAAUGAAGGAUAAAUCCCGGGCACAACAAGGGCUCUCAGCGCCCUCUGUCUUUGUCCCUUUCUCCAGCACAAAAGCCCAUGGCUCUCAUGGAAGGUGUCACCAGUUCCUACAAAGGAAAUCUGAAUGGUGAGGCUCGCCCACUGGGAAAGGAACUCUGAUUACGGUCCGUGCAUGUCAGCUUGCCAUGACUGUGACAGAACCCCUGUGGAAAACACCUUAGGGGGAGCCUUACCCCAAACACCAUCAGAUCUUGAACCUAUCAGUGGAUUGAUCAACCGACGAGGUCGGAGCCCUGAUGACGCAGUCGCUGCCCACACAUAGCCCACAGGCCGGACACUGAUUUUCCUGAGUGCUUAGGGGAGGUUUCAUGCCGUCACCGUGUCCACGCUCACCACUACUGUAGCUUUGGGUUAACGAGAGUGUCCAGGUGUUACUAUCUGUGAAGUUACUACCACACGAGGUGUGGUCUUUCAGGGAUGGCGCCCUUGUUCCAAUCCACUCCAAUCCCCAGCCCCUUGGUCACUCUGCUAUCCUGAGCAGCUACUUCCCUCUUAUCUGCUUCCGCAUCUCAGGCACCACCCCCCACUCCACCGGCCCUCAUCAGCCACCAUGGAUACCCUGCUCUCCCUAACAGCCCUCCACACCACAGAUCACCCUGACUCGGUCAUUGACGACAGCUCUCCGUCUGCCUAUCCAUCUGUCCAUCUGUCUCCUGCUGUCUGGGCUCCCUGUCUACUCUUCUCUGCGUUUGAAUGUACAUUUUUGUGAGAGCCCCUCAUGGUCUGGUGGCUGGAGGGGAAAGAGAGGCUGAGUCCCAACAGCACCGCGUAAAACGGCAAGGGUGCUGUCAGGAGAUGAGGGAGCAGGUUUCUGUAGCUGGGGACCCACUACAUUUGGAGGGACCAGAUGAAUAUGCGCUCUUCCUUCAGAGCCACUAGAGUAAGGACACGGCUGACAACACCUUCUCUGAACUUGCCUUAUGUCAGAGCCCCAAGAACACUCAGUAGGGCUAUGGGUUUCUACUUUCGGGGGCAAGAAGGCAUGGGAGGCAGUUCCCCUAUUUUCACUAAGCCUACGGGUAGCCCCGACCCUGCUGCAUUUCCCCUCUGGUCACUUCUUGUGUCCUGUGCAUGAAGCACCCCUCACAGACCAGCUGCACCUGGGGUCUUGGGAAGAGACAGCUGUGCACUGUGGGCGGUGUUUUGGGAGCCCUCCAGGGAGAGAGAGAGAGACACUUUCCGAGGUAGAGUCAGCGAAAGAUCACUUCCUCCCCUCAGUGACUUUUAUUUGACUUUAUCUGGGUUAUAAAUCAGCCAGUGAUGCCCUUCGAUCAAGACCCAUGAAUAAACCAACACUUCCAUUACUGCUUCCAGGGGAGACGUGAAAGUAUUUUGAUAGACUAAUGUUCUCUAUGCUGAAAUCAGCUUCUACAAUCCCGGGAUAAUUGCCUCAGCAAAUGUGCCAAUCACCUGGGCACCCCACUCUGCCAGUGCCCAGCAACUAAAUGUGUGUGUAGAGGCCAGAAGAAGGUGUCUGAUCUCCUGGAGGUGCAGUUACAGGUGGCUGUGGGUUACCCAAUAGGAGUUCUGGGAACCAAACUGGGUCCUCUGUAAGAGAGCAGGGGUCAGAUCUCUUUACCUCGGAGCACCUCUCCUGUCCCUUUCCUUCCUUCAUUUCUCUCCCCAUCUCUCUCCCCUAUCACCAUAGGACAGUUUUAGGCCUUCCUAAACGACAGCAAGGGCCUCUAAUUACAGACACAAUGAUAUCUAUCUUACCACCCGCUACCUCCUGCCCAAGCUGUCAGACCCACUGCCGUAGGGCAUGGCAGUCAGCGGAGGUCUCAGACAACACUGCUCAGCUUCCAGAAGUAGCUAGAACUAUCCGCAUGACCAGAGCCACAGAAUAUGGGUUCUGGUUGGGACAAUGAGACCUGUUCUAGUUGGACCACAAGACAGGAGAAUUGAGAGGCAGGUGACACAGAUAUGCAAGAUGACAGGGAUGUGGUUUACAGCUAAAAGCUACUGCACAGACACCGCUGAUCUACCUGCCCGCUGCAAGACUCUGUGGGAGUAAGGCACACAUAAGGAACCCAGCACCCCCUGGAAGCAGCAUGGUGAUUCCCUCCUUGUUGAGACCAAGAGAAAACAGGCUGGAGAAUUUAGGUCUGUACCCUCAUAUAGGACUCAAUGGGCUAGCCUGUGCCCUCCACAGCCACUGGGAGUAGAAAGUUCUAGAAAGCAUAAGAAGGAACUAUAUUCCAGAGGUGAAGAGAAGAGCAUUCUCUCCCUGUGACCGUAUAAUUAGUAACCCAUCAAAAUUCCUAGGGAAACAGUCAGUGCUUCCUCUUGAUGGGCGUUUGGGAGCUAAGAGAGACAUACUUUUGUUCAAAUCCUCACACCCUAGGUUUGAGGGCUGGGCAUUUUUACCCUAAUUGUGCAAUACCAUCUUUAAAAGAGGGGUGCUUUCAGAACGUGGUGAAAGACUAGGCAUGUAGCUCAGCAUUCAUGUGACCUUGGGUAUAGGCAUAAGACAAGAGCGAGACCACCACGUGCACGCCAUAAACAAGAGGGUCAGAAGUGCAAGGUCACCCUUGGCUACAUAGCACAUUCUGGGUUCCAAGUCAGUCUGAGUUAUAGAAAACCCUGUCUCAAAACCAAAGAAACCAAAGCCAGUGUCCAGGUCCCUUCUAGUCAACAGACUCCUGCUUGCAGCUUCUGUACCAUGAUGCAUUUUCACUUAUUGAUUAGCAUCCUGGGACCCUAGUUCCAAGGUAGGGAAAGAGCUCUCUGUGCGUCUUGAAGGGGCAGAGGAAACAGGCAGAAAGGAUGCCAUCUAAAUGCUGUGGAUAUGAAUAGAUUACUGCGAUUCUACCUUGCAUCAAGGAUAUGCUGUGGCAAACUUUUAGUGAGGCUUGCCACAUGCUUCCCAUGCCUCCUUUGUUGAGAAAGGGUGUAGGACACAGGAGUGAUGCUCAGCUGAGCAAAUGGAAGGUAAACUCAUGCCUGCAGGGGCACUGACCACCGACUAUAUGCACUAAGAUUGGCCAUCUCAGCAGUAGAAAAAGGGCCUGGUACCUCCUUCUCAGCUGAUCCAGCAUGCAAUGGGAGGUGGGGGCAGGAGGGUGCAAGGCGAGACUCCAGCCCUCAAUCCUAUCAAUAAUACAUAUUCUACAUCCUUACCCAGGAGCACUCAGGCUGGGUUGGAAAGAGGCUGCGCAGAUUAGCUCCAGGGCUUAGGCAGGUUCAGCCCUCACAUCUUAGGCACCAGAGAAACUGUGCAUGUUCAGUGCUCACAUGACUGGGUGUGCCAGAGAGGGUCUAAAUGUUUCUCUGAGUUAUAAUGCAGGGACAUUGCUUUUCUUAGCUGCAAUUUGGGACCAGAUUUUUCUCACCAAAUAACCAGAGGAGCAGUUAUAAAUAAUUCAUGCACGCUAUUUGGCUCAAUUAACAUCGCUCACGUGGCGGGGGCAGUUCUUUGAAGUCAGUUCUUUCUUGAGGGACGGUGACACACUCACGUUGGACCGGGCCACGCAUCUGCCCUAAUUAGAUAUUUACACAAGAGACCUGAGUGAAGAGGGUGGAUUUAUUUUUAAUAAAAGAAGAUUAAAACGCGUGCAUUCACAGCAAAUUAAGGAAGACCAAGCUGAAUUAAAAUUCUCCCACAACUUGGCACAGUGAGGGUCUGAAAACGAGGCGCCUCACUUGAAAUCACGGAAUGAUGUUGCUUGGAGUCAGGAAAUGAAAGUCAGACUUUCUCUUUCACCAACUCCCCUUGCCAACGUCCUGUGGGAGUCCCAGCGAGGAUGCCAGGGAACGCCAUGUACCCCCUGCCUUUGGAGAGCCAUUUAAGCCCAGCCUGCAAGUCCACCUGUGGAGCUGCAGCCCUCGGCUGUAAGUAAAGAGGCAGACGCGGGUGGUAUGGCACAGGUGAUAUGGCAAGAAACAGAGUAAAGCUGAAUUACUUUGAGUUAUACCAUGAGGCAGGCCACACCUGAGCUCCUCAAAGAAGGCUGGGCCUUUAGGUUCUUUGUGGUUGGACAUGCGUUUAAAUAUUCCAAAUUCACAUAAAAUCUUAAUGAAUUAGGCAAGAGCCUCUUACAAUGGCUCCACACGUAGAUGUUACCAUUUUAAAUGCAGAAACACACUUGUCCACAGAGAGCUGGAACCUUGGUGUUUCUGGUCACUUUGUUCAUAAGAACAAGUGAUUAGAGACGAUACAUUUGAGUAUCAGGAGGGACGGGGUUAAAUCUGCUCUGAAAAGCAAGUGUGCUGAAAACAAACAAACAAACAAACAAAAAACCAAAAAAAACAAAGGUAGUCAUCUCCUCAUGCUGCGGAGUUCAGCUCAGAGAGGGUGCUGGGAGAGGCCGGUGCGGGCAGUCCUCCCUCCUUGCCUUCCAGCAUCUUCUCUGGACCCCUGCCCCAGCAGUCGCCUGACCUCUGCAUCUCAGCCACUCUGAGUCAGUGCUUGGGGCUUUCCUCCCGAUCCUUCACCUGCCUGCCCCAUGCCAGCCUCCGAAGGAGCCCACGCCUUCCCUCAUAGCGCUGCCCCCCACCCGUUUCUAGUACUGAAACAUUGCCAAGGCACUACCCUGCCUGGAGCACAGGGCAUAGAGGAGACAUACGCUCCCCGUGGUCUUUUCUUCUGCUGAGGAAGCAAUCCAAAAAGACCACAACUUAUUUGUCCCAAGCCACAUAUCUAGAGAAUGGAAGAGUAAGGGUCACCUUCUAGUCCAGUUCAUGUCAGUUUGUGGUAGCUUCAUUCAUUCAUGCACCCAUGUAUUCAUUCAUUCAUUCAUUUAUUCAUAUGCAGUCAUUCAACGAUUUAAUGGCACUGACUGUGUCCAAAGUUGAACAAAAUAAAAUGAGACCCCCACCACCCCUCCUACAGUGCAGGUUACCUCCCAUUAGAUAGUUCUGGAGUUCAGAACCCCCAGACGAAGCCGCCAGCAGAUUCAGUGUUUACAGAGGAUCUACUUUCUGGCUUCUAGAUGGCUCUGUCCCCUAAUGCUAACUUCAGGCAAGCUCCUUUCAGGCCCUGGCUCCUAAGCGCGCCUCAAAGGUACUCAAAUGUAUUUCUGUGCUGGGCAUGUAGUUCAGUAGUAGAUCACUUGCCCAACACAUGCGAGACCCCAGGUUUAAUCUCCACCACCAUAAAAAACCCAAAACCAAAGAAAUACAAACAGAAUUCUCUCUCCACUUUUAGAUCAUCACAACAGGUCCCCUAACAGAAGCCCUCCCUGCUCUUUGAACAAAUUGAAUGCCACAGGACAGCUCUGUACUUCUUGUACUUUCUAUGAUUAGGGCUGUAAGGAGGACAUCCUCUUGGCCUCCCUGGGCCCUGAUAAUGGUAAGGCUGCACACUCAGAGCAAGAAAACUACAGGAGAGAAAAAGAAAGAGACUGGGGUUGGGGUGGUGUGAGCAUGUUAGUUCCAGGGUUACAUUUCAUUUUAUUGACGCUCUGUUGGCAAACUACAAUCAGCCCUAUAUAAUUACAGAAAAUUAUAACGGCAGCGCAGCAGCGAACCCAAAAGCUACCCUUUGGGAAUAUUAAUAAGUAGAUACUCUCCUCUUUAAUAGUAAAUGCACACCAAUUUCAUAAAACGGCUUGUUUUCACACCGGGAAACACCACGGCGCUCAUGCAUUUUUAAAGAAAUGCUGAUUUUAGUGUGACUAUUACGAGAUAGUAAUAGAGAUUAUUUUUUUAUUUGUCCAGAUUUGUUUGUUCAUUGGUUCUACAGGUGUUUCCCACACCAUGGAACAGGGCCUGGUUUAACUGGCAAGGCUAGACAAAUAUGUUCCCUUUAAGUAUGUCUAGUCUAACUGGGGGGGGUCACUCUCACAUGGAAAAUUUCAGUGGGUGUCAAGUAUUCCUGCCUCACCUCCGACCGCCCACCUAAAUAGACUGCGUGCUGCAGAAGCCGGGGUGACAAAGCUCGUAUCCUCAACCUCAAUGCACUCACAGGAGCAUGAGGCGCUGCUCUUCCAAGGCUGGCAUGCUGGAGACAUGGCUGCAUGGCUCCUGAGCUGAGCAGAGGGUCAGAUAGAACACUUGACUGCUGGGAGAAAGCCUUGCUAAGACCUGGGGCCCUCACCAGUCCUGCCUUGGGGGACAGAAUGAUGGUCUUGAUUUUUUUAUUUGCUGCUAAGCCAGGGUGGGCAGCAAUAUUGGAGAUGCUGCUGCUGCUGCUGAUUAUUAUUAUUAUUACUAUUACUAUUAUAAUAUUCAGGCGGUGCUGGUCUGGAUCUUACAAGCCAAGGGUAGGCAGAAGUUAUGCUGCAGCCUACGGAGGUGCUGAGCUCAGAGACAUUUGAUACAAGAACCGUCUUGAGCAUUUUAGUGGUUUACAACUAGCCCGGCAGUGCACUGGGGACAGGGAGACGUAUACCUGGGCUCAAUAUCUGUCACUUUGCUAGUUGCCUGUCUCUCAGAGACUCUACCUUCCUUCAUCUGAGGCUCUGUGAUCUGAGACCCUGUGCCAGCUUUAGGGUGCGUGGGGAACGCAGGGGAGCCCUGUUCACGAUCUGCUCUGAGCCAGCAAGAGGACAGUGACCUCUGCAUACUACACAAGUGUUCCUGGCACCACCUCUGCUCCUCCUCAUCUGGAGCACCCAUGGCUGGGCACACCCUGAACCUGGGUUCCAACAAGAGGAUGCGAGGGGACUUCAAGAUGCUCACAGUCCAGUGGGGCAGACACACAAUGGCAAAGUGCUGAGUGUUGGAGAGGAAGUUGACAUGUGUUCAAGAGGGGGUUUAUGUGAUUAAAGUGUUAUUGGUUAAUGUU